ACGCGACUGGGGCUUCGGCCUCAGUUGAGUGGCGAACGGGUGAGUAACACGUGGGUGACCUACCUUCGAGUGGGGGAUAACGUCCCGAAAGGGACGCUAAUACCGCAUAACAUCCUGCCUUUGAACAGGCGGAGAUCAAAGCCGGGGAUCGCAAGACCUGGCGCUUGAUGAGGGGCCCGCGCCUGAUUAGCUAGUUGGUGAGGUAAUGGCUCACCAAGGCGACGAUCAGUAUCCGGCCUGAGAGGGCGGACGGACACACUGGGACUGAGACACGGCCCAGACUCCUACGGGAGGCAGCAGUGGGGAAUUGUUCGCAAUGGGCGCAAGCCUGACGACGCAACGCCGCGUGGAGGAUGAAGGUCUUCGGAUUGUAAACUCCUGUUGCUCGGGACGAAAAGCUCCGACCUAACACGUCGGAGUCUGACGGUACCGAGUGAGGAAGCCCCGGCUAACUCUGUGCCAGCAGCCGCGGUAAUACAGAGGGGGCAAGCGUUG
rnacentral:rRNA from 1 species